GACGUAGGGCGCGAGCGUUGUCCGGAUUUAUUGGGCGUAAAGAGCUCGUAGGCGGCUCGGUAAGUCGGGUGUGAAACCUCCAGGCUCAACCUGGAGACGCCACCUGAUACUGCUGUGGCUAGAGUCCGGUAGGGGAGUGUGGAACUCCUGGUGUAGCGGUGAAAUGCGCAGAUAUCAGGAGGAACACCGGUGGCGAAGGCGGGUCUCUGGGCAGUAACUGACGCUGAGGAACGAAAGCGUGGGUAGCGAACAGG
rnacentral:rRNA from 1 species